AUUGAACGCUGGCGGCAUGCUUUACACAUGCAAGUCGAACGGUAACAGGCCUUCGGGCGCUGACGAGUGGCGAACGGGUGAGUAAUGCAUCGGAACGUGCCCAGUCGUGGGGGAUAACGCAGCGAAAGCUGUGCUAAUACCGCAUACGAUCUGCGGAUGAAAGCGGGGGACCUUCGGGCCUCGCGCGAUUGGAGCGGCCGAUGUCAGAUUAGGUAGUUGGUGGGGUAAAGGCUCACCAAGCCAACGAUCUGUAGCUGGUCUGAGAGGACGACCCGCCACACUGGGACUGAGACACGGCCCAGACUCCUACGGGAGGCAGCAGUGGGGAAUUUUGGACAAUGGGCGCAAGCCCGAUCCAGCAAUGCCGCGUGCAGGAAGAAGGCCUUCGGGUUGUAAACUGCUUUUGUACGGAGCGAAAAGGCUCCCUCUAAUACAGGGGGCUCAUGACGGUACCGUAAGAAUAAGCACCGGCUAACUACGUGCCAGCCGCCGCGGUAAGAC
rnacentral:rRNA from 1 species